rnacentral:rRNA from 1 species
GAUGAACGCUGGCGGCGUGCCUAAUACAUGCAAGUCGAGCGAACAGACGAGGAGCUUGCUCCUCUGAUGUUAGCGGCGGACGGGUGAGUAACACGUGGAUAACCUACCUAUAAGACUGGGAUAACUUCGGGAAACCGGAGCUAAUACCGGAUAACAUGUUGAACCGCAUGGUUCAACAGUGAAAGACGGUCUUGCUGUCACUUAUAGAUCGAUCCGCGCCGCAUUAGCUAGUUGGUAAGGUAACGGCUUACCAAGGCAACGAUGCGUAGCCGACCUGAGAGGGUGAUCGGCCACACUGGAACUGAGACACGGUCCAGACUCCUACGGGAGGCAGCAGUAGGGAAUCUUCCGCAAUGGGCGAAAGCCUGACGGAGCAACGCCGCGUGAGUGAAGAAGGUCUUCGGAUCGUAAAACUCUGUUAUUAGGGAAGAACAAAUGUGUAAGUAACUAUGCACGUCUUGACGGUACCUAAUCAGAAAGCCACGGCUAACUACGUG